GCCGGGGUAGCUCAGGGGUAGAGCAGGGGACUGAAAAUCCCUGUGUCGGUGGUUCAAAUCCGCCUCUCGGCACCA
rnacentral:tRNA from 1 species